ACAAAAACGAUGAACGGGAAGAGUAGGCGGUAUUGCCCUUCAGAGAGCGGAAUUGCAGCGCUGGAAGAUUCCGCAGGAUGCAGCUGUCCGAAGUCGCCCGGAAGUUGUCGGUUUGAGCACUUGCGCCGAAAGCGCGGGAGGUAGAGCCGGCCGGCUGCAGCCGUUAUCUGUACGAAGUGUUGCGAAGGCAUGCGUGUUUGUGCUUGCUGUCGCAAAACAAAGGUGGUACCGCGAAAGAACAGCCUUUCGUCCUUUGA
rnacentral:ncRNA from 1 species